CCUACGGGUGGCAGCAGUGGGGAAUAUUGGGCAAUGGGCGCAAGCCUGACCCAGCAACGCCGCGUGAAGGAAGAAGGCUUUCGGGUUGUAAACUUCUUUUGACAGGGAAGAGUAGAAGACGGUACCUGUCGAAUAAGCCACGGCUAACUACGUGCCAGCAGCCGCGGUAAUACGGGGGGUGCAAGCGUUGUCCGGAAUCAUUGGGCGUAAAGAGUUCGUAGGUGGCACGUUAAGUCUGGUGUUAAAGGCGGAAGCUCAACUUCCGUAGGGCACUGGAUACUGGCGAGCUUGAAUGCGGUAGAGGUAAAGGGAAUUCCUGGUGUAGCGGUGAAAUGCGUAGAUAUCAGGAGGAACAUCGGUGGCGUAAGCGCUUUACUGGGCCGUAAUUGACACUGAGGAACGAAAGCCGGGGUAGCAAAUGGGAUUAGAUACCCGGGUAGUC
rnacentral:rRNA from 1 species